rnacentral:lncRNA from 1 species
UGAAAUCCUUAGGUCAAGGACUAUUUUUUUGUACUUUCUUUUUAUCUCCAGUGUUUAGCACAGUGCCUGGCACUUGGUACAGGCUUGCUGACUGAUUAAUUGAUUACAAAUACUCAGAAAGUUUUGUAAGAUCAUGGAUUAUAACUUACUUUCUUGGUAGCAUGGUAGAGUGAAAAAAAUUAGCCUUGAAAGCAAAGUCAGGGCCUGGUUUCAAGUCCUGUUUCUGACAUGUAAAAGCUGGUCAACCUUCCCUUCAACAGAAAUCCAUCCCUUACAAGAAAGAAGCAAAAGAAAUAAACACAGUAACUGAUUUUGACAAUAGAUGCAGUGGUCGAUAGUCCCAUACUCUCACCUCUUCAGAAAUGGUUUUUCUAAGUUCUGCAUUUGGCAUAGAAGUUUCUUGAGAAAAGGAAUGGCAAAGGGUCAUAGAUUUAGAUCUGGAAGGGAUGUUAGAGCCAUCCUAGUCAAUAUUUCCCCUCCUCCAUUCCUUUUUUUUUAAUCAUAAAGGAAUCUGAGUCCUAGAAAGGACAUGGUCGACUUGCCUCAAGAAUAUCCAUUUGAAAGCUGUGUGGAUGCUGAAUUUAAGAUGGGGAAAGACUGGAGACGGAGAGACCAAGUAGGAAGUUAUGGCUACAAGUAAAAGGUGAUGAAGUGUCAAACUAAGUGGUGGCUAAGUGAGUGGGGAGAAGGGCAAUCAAGAAGUGUUGUGAAAGCAGAAAUCUCCAGAUGCUACAGUUUCUGGGAUAUAGGAGGGUUGAAGGAGCAGGAAAGAGUCAGGGAUGACUCUUAAGUUGUGAACAUAUGUUCCUGGGCUGCUUAUUCCCUCCAAAGAAAUAGGGAAGUGGGGAAGAAGGAAGGGUUUCAUCUAGUGGCACCCAUCAAAGGAACUUACCAGCUAAACUGAGUUGUAAGAACCCAUUCCAGAGAUUCAGAAGGGGAUGCCAGGGAGACAAGAACUGGAACUUGAUGCUGGAUUCCAGAGGGCCUAUGGAAACACUAAUAAUCAUUACUGUUAGAUUAGUCCCCGAGUGUCAGAUUCAAAUAGAAGUGGGGGGCCAUUAAGCUAUAUGGAAGGAUCCCUGCAGGCUAUAUGUUGACUUAGAAAAUCAAAUAUUACUCAUGUUUUAUUUUGUUUUUAUUUAUUUUAUGAAAUAUUUUCCAAAUUCCAUUUUAAUCUGGUUCAGGCUUCAGCUGGGGAGUGUUGGGCCUCUCCAUGUGUUUGACACCUCUGAGUCAGUGGUUGGACUUUCCAAGUCAUGCUAAAAAUUGUCUGCAGCUCCCUGUGUGUUUAGGCUCCUUGGUGUUUUUUUUUCCUUCUUCUUUUUUCAUUUUUAGACUAAUAAACAAGAGGAAAACCUAAUAUACA